CGCAUUUCGCUCCCAUCGACGUGUGCUUACUGUCUCUCUUUCUUCAUGAGUCUUCGAUGCUGUAUCCGUUUCUCUCUGCCUUCUCUCUUGCGACUCCAACUUCUCGCAUCUGGCUGCCACCCUCCUCUCACGCCCCCAACGUGUGCGCGGUGGCCGCGACUCUCCCUCUUCGCCUCCAUACAGCUUGAACUCGAAAGGAGGAGGGUAUAAGAGUAGUCAGUCUACAUCUCCGUCGAGGGAGAAGGAGCGAAGUGUGUGAGGAAAAAGCAGAAGAAAAACAGAUCCAAGCGACUUUAGUUAGGGGCCAUGUCUUCGAGAUCGUCACCAAAAUCGCCAGCUUCCGAUGGCGCGCACCGCUACGCCCACGUCAACGUCAACAAGCCCUCCUCCUACUGGGACUACGACUCUCUGCGCGUGCAGUGGAAUAGCCCUGACCGGUACGAAGUGGUGCAGAAGAUCGGCCGUGGCAAGUAUAGCGACGUCUUCCUCGGCGUGGACACCAAGGUGCCGCGUCAGGUUGUGAUCAAGGUGCUGAAGCCAGUCAAGAAAAAGAAGAUUCUGCGUGAGUUGAUGGUGCUGCAGACGCUCAAAGGCGGUCCGAAUAUUGUGGACCUCUUCGAUGUCGUGCGGGAGCCCAAUAGCAAAACACCCUCCUUCGUCUUCGAGUACGUGAAGUCAUGUGACUUCCGAACCGUCUUCCCCACCUUCACCGAUUUAGAGGUGCGCAGCUACAUUUUCCAGGUUCUCAUGGCCCUCGAAUACGCCCACUCGCAUGGCAUCAUGCAUCGAGACGUGAAACCGAACAACGUGUGCCUGGACUAUAAAACAGGUAAGCUGAAGCUGAUUGACUGGGGUCUGGCUGAAUUCUACCAUCCUGCCACGUCCUAUAACGCUCGCGUCGCGUCGCGCUACUUCAAGGGGCCGGAGCUGCUCGUAGAAUUGCCCAUGUACGACUAUCGGCUGGACAUGUGGUCGCUGGGAUGCAUGUUAGCAGCCAUGAUCUUCAUUCGUGAGCCAUUCUUCCGCGGAAAGGACAAUACGGAUCAGCUGGUGCGCAUUGUGAAGGUGCUCGGCACGGACGACCUGCAAGUGUACCUUAAGAAGCACAACGCGAGUUUGCCGCCCGUGCUAGAGGCGACGCUAGGCUACCACGCGAAGAAGCCAUGGAGGAGUUUUGUGAAUGGGCAAAACGAGCACCUGUGCCCGCCCGAGGCACUCGCGUUUUUAGAUAAGCUGCUCCAGUAUGAUCACAUGAAGCGGAUCCAAGCGGCAGAGGCGAUGAUGGACCCAUACUUUGACCCGGUCAGACCCAAGGAUUUUACGCUAGACGGAAUCACCGUGGCGGCGGAGAACGGAGGCGGCGGUGCGAGUGUAUGCAACGAAGAGAACGUACACGAAAAGAGAGUGCCAAGAAUAGAGUCUUGAAAGCAAGAUGAGCAGCCUGCGCUUGCGUGCCCGUAUCUCUCUGUCUGUGUCUGUGGUAGUGAAUGUGUAGCGUCUCGGCUGUCCUCUCGCUCCCCACCAGAAAGAGGUGAGCAACAAGGCAGAAAGGCGACGAGAAGGGCAAAUGCGCAGAUAAAAGCGGGAGAGUGCCUGCUGAUGGAAACAGAGACGAGAGGAACACACGCAUUCACGUUUUUUUUUCUGUCUUAGAUAAGUCCUAUGUGUGGCACUGCCUGCACUCUCCUUAUUUUUGGUACAUCUGCUCACACAUGCACACUGCGGAGCAUUUUCUAGUCUCUCGUCACCUUGCUUUGCGUCCCUCCCCCCCCCACACACAAACCUCCUCCCUCUCUGUCAUGCCACAGACGACUUUAUCUACAGUGUGUGUGUGUGUGCACUUGUGUCUUCCUUCUUGUUUUGUUUUCCUCUCUCCCUUUCCUCGCCUCUCGCUCUCCGCUACACAUGGACCGCACCCCCUCCUCUUCGUCCUUCUCCUCCAACCCUCUUUUACUCCGCCUGUCGCGCCACGCUAGCUCCGAUCCACGUUAACAGUAACUACGUCACACAAACUCAUUGUAUGUUUGUGUGUGUGUGUGUGUGUGUGUGUGUGUGUGUGUGUGUGCAUAUUUGAUCCUUUUUGUUUUGUUAUGCUCUUGUUUUAUUAUUAUUAUUGUUUCUCAUUGUCGAGUUCCUCCUCCUCUUCGCUGUUUGUGGUGUGCUUCCUCUUUGCCAGACUGGCCGUGGGAUUGGCGUCACUGUCUGUCUUUCUCUUUGUCUGUGUGUCUGUGUCUGUGUCUGUCUGUGUGUGCGUGCGUGCGUGCGUGGGUGUUUGGAUGUGUGCUUGUGUGUCUGCACGCGUGCGCGGAACUCGUGUUGAUGCUAGUGCUAAAGGAAAAGGUCUGCAUUGCGCUUUAGAGUCAAGAGAAAACAAGAAGCGCGAAAGUAUUGCAACAGGGACGCUGAGGUCCACACGGCGGAAACGUGAUCUGGGAACAAGGACGUAAAAGGCAUCGCCCGUUCAAGCGGUGAUUCCUUGGGGUUGUAUGUGUGCACGUUUGUUCCUCUGCUGGCGUGAUCUGCCGACGGGGGGAUGGCAGCCACGCGUUGGAUGGGCAAUAUGAAAUAUCGAGAAUCUUCUGGCGGCUUCAGCUCUCAUCAUCUCUCUCCCUGUACCAGUGGGUGAACGAGAUGGGCGCUGACUGUGGGUUAUGCAGCGCGAGCUUGUCCUUCAGGUGGCAAUCAUGGUUGUGUUGGCCCAGAUGGUGUGUCUCCCACCCGGAGCGCAAAAUGAGCUUUCUCUCUCUCGCUCUUUUUCCCCGCUCCUCUCCUCCCCUGCUUUCACUUCCAGGUGUCUUCGGACCUCAUUCUUGCGCUUUCUCUUGUGUAUGUGUGUGGACUGCUACCUCAUGUUGUGGAUACUUUAG
rnacentral:misc_RNA from 1 species